rnacentral:rRNA from 1 species
UCGUGGCGGCCCCCUUCACAUGCAAGUCGAGCGGAUGAAGGGAGCUUGCUCCUGGAUUCAGCGGCGGACGGGUGAGUAAUGCCUAGGAAUCUGCCUGGUAGUGGGGGAUAACGUUCCGAAAGGAACGCUAAUACCGCGUACGUCCUACGGGAGAAAGCAGGGGACCUUCGGGCCUUGCGCUAUCAGAUGAGCCUAGGUCGGAUUAGCUAGUUGGUGAGGUAAUGGCUCACCAAGGCGACGAUCCGUAACUGGUCUGAGAGGAUGAUCAGUCACACUGGAACUGAGACACGGUCCAGACUCCUACGGGAGGCAGCAGUGGGGAAUAUUGGACAAUGGGCGAAAGCCUGAUCCAGCCAUGCCGCGUGUGUGAAGAAGGUCUUCGGAUUGUAAAGCACUUUAAGUUGGGAGGAAGGGCUGUAGGCUAAUAUCCUGCGGUUUUGACGUUACCAACAGAAUAAGCACCGGCUAACUUCGUGCCAGCAGCCGCGGUAAUACGAAGGGUGCAAGCGUUAAUCGGAAUUACUGGGCGUAAAGCGCGCGUAGGUGGUUCGUUAAGUUGGAUGUGAAAGCCCCGGGCUCACCUGGGAACUGCAUCCAAAACUGGCGAGCUAGAGUACGGUAGAGGGUAGUGAAUUUCCUGUGUAGCGGUGAAUGCGUAGAUAUAGGAAGGAACACCAGUGACGACGCGACUACUUGAACUGAUACUGACACUGAGGUGCGAAGCGUGGGGAGCAAACAGGAUUAGAUACCCUGUUAGUCCACGCGUAUACGAUGCCAAUUAGCGUUGAAUCCUUGAGAUUUAUUGGCGCACUACCCCCUCAGUUGACGCUCGGGAGUCGGACGAAGGUAAAACUCACGAUGACUCGACCCCACAGCGGGGACUGGGGUGUAUUCA